CCGGGAUGGACACACCGCUGGUGUACCAGUUAUCUCGCCAGAGGUACCGCUGGGUAGCUAUGUGUGGCCGGGAUAAGCGCUGAAAGCAUCUAAGCGCGAAACCCACCUCAAGAUUAGGUUUCCCACUGGAUUAACCAGGUAAGACCCCUGGUAGACUACCAGGUAGAUAGGCCGGGAGUGUAAGCUCAGCAAUGAGUUUAGCGGACCGGUACUAAUCGGUCGAGGGCUUGAUCUG
rnacentral:rRNA from 1 species